AAGUAUUUUGUGUAUAUUUACUAAAAUUGGCACGAUACAGAGAGGAUUAGCAUGGCCCUGCGCAAGGAUGAUACACAAAACCAUGAAACGUUCCAUAUAAAA
rfam:Schistosoma mattheei strain Denwood, Zambia genome assembly, scaffold: SMTD_scaffold0002561